UACGAAGGGGGCUAGCGUUGCUCGGAAUCACUGGGCGUAAAGCGCACGUAGGCGGAUUGUUAAGUCAGGGGUGAAAUCCUGGAGCUCAACUCCAGAACUGCCUUUGAUACUGAAGAUCUUGAGUUCGGGAGAGGUGAGUGGAACUGCGAGUGUAGAGGUGAAAUUCGUAGAUAUUCGCAAGAACACCAGUGGCGAAGGCGGCUCUCUGGAACGGUACUGACGCUGAGACGCGAAAGCGUGGGGAGCGAACAGG
rnacentral:rRNA from 1 species